UACGAAGGGGGCUAGCGUUGCUCGGAAUGACUGGGCGUAAAGGGCGCGUAGGCGGAUGGUACAGUCAGAUGUGAAAUUCCUGGGCUUAACCUGGGGGCUGCAUUUGAUACGUGUUGUCUAGAGUGAGGAAGAGGGUCGUGGAAUUCCCAGUGUAGAGGUGAAAUUCGUAGAUAUGGGGAGGAGCACCGGUGGCGAAGGCGACCAUCUGGACGGAUACUGACGCUGAGACGCGAAAGCGUGGGUAGCAAACAGG
rnacentral:rRNA from 1 species